GCAACGGAACCUAUAGCGCUACCGACUGAGGCUAGUUCGGCCAGUGAGGCUCAGCCGCUACCAGCCACAUUGUUAUAUAAUACGCUGAGUGAGGCAGUGUUCACUACCCAAACCUCCAAAAUCCUCAUGUUCAUCUACACUUCUCUCCCCUUGGUGAUCGGCUCAUUCUGGAGAAGGAGGGAGCCAAAACCCGAGCCCUAGGGCACUGACGAAACCCCGCGAAACAACGGAUUUAUCAAUUUCCCCAUGUGCUCACAUGAAGAGACAUCCGCCCAAUGGGAAUUUCAACUCUAUCCCCAGACGGCCGUCAGCAACCUGUUUCCAACUUGAGACCCAUACUAGUGGACCCAUAAUCCUAUUUUCUUUGAACUAAAGUGAAGUGUUUGCAAUUAGGCCUUGGGACCCCGUUCCAUAUUUUGAGCCUAUACUGUAAAGUUGUUGGCCUGCGUGGUGACCUGGCCUAUAACCACAUCAAUCGUAAUAUAAUGUUCUUCAAAAAAGUGGAAGAAAUGAAGAAAACCAAGUAAUAAUCAGUUUACCCUUGAUAUAUAUUGAAUUCAUGCUAAUGAUGGGUGUGAUCUUCGUGUUGUUUGGUCAUUGAUUAUGAAAUGCAUUAGAAAAAGCC